UGUUAUAUUGUUGGUAACACUGAACAUUAGCGGAAGUCACUGCUGUGUGAUGCAGGUGCUAAAUGAGCUGUGUUCCGUAUUUCGAAUGAUGUAUGGGUUAGCUACCACAAGGCAGAAAAGGUAAUCAUAAACACAUUAACAAUAAACACUGGGUUCUUUCACGUCAUUGAUACAUUAGUCAAUUGAUCGAUUGCACGUCCUAGUGUUUCUACUGCAAGGUACGUAUAGAUGAUUGAUGUUAAAAUGAUUAUGAAUUGUUGAAAACUGGACUGAAAGUAAAUAUGUUACUUGCUAUGGGAAACCAUUUUUCUCCUGUAAGAGCGUCACAAUUUGGCAUCGUUCUCUAGUUUCUAAAGAGGGCUUGUAAGAAAAUCUUUGCUUUUUUAUUACCCCUACGUUACUCUUCUCUCUAUAUCAUUGAAAAUGCUUUUGUGGUUGCCUGAUCGGUUACCACCCGCGUGAUGAUCGUUUCUUUAGCAACUUCCCUGGUAAUAUCACUCUGAUGUUCUAACACACUGCUUGGAGACUUGCUGCUCCAAGUUAGACGAUAUAAAUCACAUGUCGUGGUACUAAUUUCGUGUGACUUGGUAACUCGUGAGUUUAUAAAUUGCAGUUCGUGUUCAGUAUGCGUACUUGGGUGCAGAAAAAUAUAUCACAUGUUUCAAGAGCCCCUUAAUAGAGAAACAAACAUACAGAAAUCUGGUAGUUCGGCAUUUCUUAUUACUGUAAGAAAAGGAUCUAGAAGUGUUCGAGCUUUACGUGGAAAUCGUGGAACCUGUUGGCGUACGGCCAAAUUCAGUUGUGAGUCAUGAACCGGAGCGAACUGGUUGUGGAGAGCGACAGAGCUGGAAAACGCAGUGUGUGACGGGAUCUACACACCUGCCUACCCACUAAGAGACCGAUUGAUACCAUUGUGACAUGUGGACAGAAGAUUUAACGACCGUGACUGUGUUUAUAAGAGUAAAUAACUUCCCACACGAGAAACUAUUUGUGAUUAAAUUGAAGCUAAUACAUCUGUGUACCACGCAAAAGGAUAGUAGCAGUUCAAUUUCUACUGGCUGAUACAACAUUAAUGACGCCGUUGUAAUGGGAAGAGGAGAUGUGAACCUCGGAGUGCCUCCGGCGGGACUUGACUCUUGAGUUGACGGUCAGCUGGACUGCGUUUCCCACGGAUGAUGACGACGUGGAUGGACGUCAGGCUAUCUCUGUUGGGUGUCCGCAUCAGCACGG